rnacentral:rRNA from 1 species
CCUACGGGUGGCAGCAGUGAGGAAUAUUGGUCAAUGGUCGCGAGCCUGAACCAGCCAAGUAGCGUGAAGGAUGACUGCCCUACGUGUUGUAAACUUCUUUUGUAAAGGAAUAAAGUGAGGCACGUGUGCCUUUUUGUAUGUACUUGAUGAAUAAGGAUCGGCUAACUCCGUGCCAGCAGCCGCGGUAAUACGGAGGAUCCGAGCGUUAUCCGGAUUUAUUGGGUUUAAGGGGAGCGUAGAUGGGUUGUUAAGUCAGUUGUGAAAGUUUGCGGCUCAACCGUAAAAGUGCAAUUGAUACUGGCAGGCUUGAGUACAGUUGAGGUAGGCGGAAUUCGUGGUGUAGCGGUGAAAUGCUUAGAUAUCACGAAGAACUCCGAUUGCGAAGGCAGCUUACUAAACUGCCACUGACAUUGAUGCUCGAAAGUGUGGGUAUCAAACAGGAUUAGAUACCCUAGUAGUC